GUGCCAGUGCAAUGCCACGCUGUUCUCUCUCCAUCGUGUGGCAUCUCACGCAACGAUGAAUAGACGACAAGAGAACACACACACACACACACACCGUUCUGUCGAGGACCGGAAGAUAAAGACACUAGCGCAAAAAAUAGCGAGAGAGAGAAAAAUAAAAAAAAUCGGCAAAACAGAAAAUGCAUAAUCUAGGGAUUCAUCCUCCUAUUUAGCUGGACAAAGGUCAGAUGCAAUUUGCUGAGAGGAAAGUGUGGAGGGACUUUGCUGGAGAAAGAGCCGGAGGCAGGGUGGGCUCAGGCGUGAGUGACCUGCGGUUUUCAACAGCGAAGAAACACGAUUAAUGCGGAACAUGAACUUACAGACGAAUUACACAGGAUGCCAUGCACAAGGACGGAGCUGCUAGGAAAUGAGGGAAUGGAACAUAUCCACGCAUAUUGUCACGCUUCUCAACAUCCAACGACUAUAUUCAUCAAGCAAAGGGAAUUGUAAGGGUUAGAACAUGGGGGGGAAAAAAUGAUAUACAAUCAUGAAUGUUAAGACCUGCUAUUCUGUGAUUUAAUUUUGCCUCAGAUUCCAGGUGCAUGCAGGGAUUGUUUUAGAACAGCCGGGAGGGUGAGAAAGAAAUGCGAUAAUGGCGGCAGUUAACUCUGUACACUCCAGACGCGAAGGCGAUUAAAAAGUACUAGAAAGUG